AGAAGCAACAUUUAUGAGAGCCUCAUUUACUGACAAACUAAAUGUUUCUUGAUACAAAUUGACUCAUAAAUUCUAACAGAGCUUUUCCUUGGACAAAUCGAGUGGUAAGAAAUGUCACCUUCUUGCUGCAAGGGAACUGUCCAUUGAAUGGGGUUUCAUUCCUGAGUAUUGGAGAUGGAUUUCUCUACCUGAAGAAUCCAGGUUCCCAGAGGUAGCGGAACUUAAUCGUGUGUAUUGGUUUGACAUCCGCGGUAAGGUGAGUACUUCCAUUCUGUCUCCCAAAACACGCUAUGCCGCUUACCUUGUGUACAAGUUGAGGAGCGGAGCCCAUGGAUUUGAUGGCCCUCCUUUCAAGGCUUCAGUGGGAACUGUUGGAGGUGAAGUUUAUGAACAAACUGUUCGAUUGGGCCUGUUUGUCAUGGAGCCAAACCAGCAAGACCAGAUUAUACCGUCGCAGCAGCAGCACAUUUCACGUCCCAAGCAGAGAGAAGAUGGAUGGUUAGAGAUUGAGUUGGGUCAAUUUUUCAAUAGGGGAGGAGAAGAUGACGAACUGCAGAUUAACUUAUGGAGGUAGAAGCUCUUAACGAGAAGACUGGCCUCGUUGUUGAAGGGAUCGAGAUCAGGCCAACAAAGGGACAAGACCAGUAGGGGACUCCACUACAAGCAAAAGCAUUUGCGUUGAGGUUAGAUUAUGUUCAUGUCACGGCUCCCUUACUGAGCAAGUGGUAUGCUCACCCUUAACAUUUUCAGUGAGCAGGUAUUUUCCUUUUGCAGCUCAAAGUCUCAGCAGUGGAGGA